rnacentral:lncRNA from 1 species
UGUCCUUGAGCGACUCCACAACCUAGAUAAGGCUGUCUAAGACAAAGGGAUUGUCCCUGCUUUGACAAAUGGGACUGACCUUCCAGUCCUGGUAAAACAUUCGGGUUUCAACAAAGUCUGUAUCAGGUGGGGGAUGAUAUAUGGCUGGAAGUAUGUAAAUCCACAGGCAGGUGUUAACUGGCUGCCUGGUUAUGCAAUUAACCCACAGUUGUCAGGCACAUCCAAUAAAGAAGGGAAGUUGUAUUUGCCAUCUCAUCUGGCUUUUUAGUGAAGUGGCUGUAUUAAGAAACACUUCUGAAAAAGAAAGAUUCAUUAGUCGCAGAUUCUAAGAGUCUCAGUCUGAAUUAAGGCUCUGUAAUUUAGCCUCAAACAACACUUGUCUAAACAUAAGAUGAGUCGAUUAGUAGAACUGGAGGGAUAUCAAGCUUUCUUUGUAUGUUUUCAUUGGUGCUACCCCCAGCAGUCAAGGAAGAUAACUGCAGAAACAUCUUUACUCUAUCAGGCCAGAAGUGAAGUGGCAACCGAGGAAUGAGGAUUUCACAUUUAAUUUGAGUCAAGAUGAACAAAGAUGGCUCAAGUUGAAGAUGGAUCCGUGAAGAUCCACAGAUCUGAGAGAAGAGUUAUUGAAGCAGGAGAAUCGAAACUGGGCUUUGCUGGAGAAGAAAUUUGUUAAGUCGUCUGAAUUGUAAUGGCUGAAUGUUCUAGAUGGCUGUUGGUCCCCGGAAUCAACAGGAAGCGAUGAGCCCUUUGAUAACAGGUGCUUCUGGGAGCAGUCCCUGCUAGCCAGCUUAGCUUCAAAACAGAGCAAUGCUAGAAAAGACAAGGACUGGAGGCUGAGAAAGGUGAGCCAGCGCCAUGAGGAGUGGCUGCCUCUUGAAUCCUGUCAGUCUCCGGCAGAUCCGAUUACAUCUGGGGCCCUUAAGAGUACUUCAAGCAAACGGCGCUGGUCUAUUUUAAUCCUGCUCCUUCUAGAAACCAGAAACUGUAAGGAGAGUCUUCCUGCUGACAGGUGGCUCCAUAAAAGUCGUCCAUCUGCUGCUAAUUAUGGCAGAAAGAAAAUUCACAGAGCCGAGUUUUCAGUUUAUUUGCUAAAGAUCUCCAAAGGUGCUAGAAAUACUAUAAAAUGCAUUUUAAAAGACGUAUAG